UGGAUUGUCUGCAAAUCAGUCAUGUGAGUAGUGUUAAUCUAAUGAAGAAGAAUCUUAAAAGACAAAUUCUCCAAAUGCUGCUGCUCCUGCAUCCUGCUGCUCUAGCUGCUGUGGGGAGGAGCAUUGGGAAUUAGUGUUAAACAAGACACAAAAUGUGUGCUCUCACGAAGAUCAUAUGCCAGUGCAGAGAGAUGAUAAACACGAAAUCCAAUAAAUGCACAGUUUGUGCCAUGAAGAAAAUAAAACAAGCUGAUGAAAUUAUAACUACCAGGUGUGUCACUUCGAUUGGGUGUUCA
rnacentral:lncRNA from 1 species